UCCCUGGUGGUUCAGUGGGUUAAGGACCCAACAUUGUCACUGCUUUGUCUCAGGUUCAAUCCCUGGCCAGGGAA
rnacentral:tRNA from 1 species